rnacentral:rRNA from 1 species
CUCAACGACCGUACCGCAAACCGACACUGGUGCGCGAGAUGAGUAUUCUAAGGCGCUUGAGAGAACUCAGGAGAAGGAACUCGGCAAAUUGACACCGUAACUUCGGAAGAAGGUGUGCCCUAUUAGUGUGAAGUGAACAACGGAGCAUGAAUGGGUUGCAAAAAAUCGGUGGCUGCGACUGUUUAUUAAAAACACAGCACUCUGCAAACACGAAAGUGGACGUAUAGGGUGUGACGCCUGCCCGGUGCUGGAAGAUUAAAUGAUGGGGUGCAAGCUCUUGAUUGAAGUCCCAGUAAACGGCGGCCGUAACAAUAACGGUCCUAAGGUAGCGAAAUUCCUUGUCGGGUAAGUUCCGACCUGCACGAAUGGCGUAACGAUGGCCACACUGUCUCCUCCUGAGACUCAGCGAAGUUGAAAUGUUUGUGAUGAUGCAAUCUCCCCGCGGAAAGACGGAAAGACCCCAUGAACCUUUACUGUAGCUUUGUAUUGGACUUUGAACAGAUCUGUGUAGGAUAGGUGGGAGGCUUUGAAGCAGGGUCGCUAGAUCUUGUGGAGCCAACGUUGAAAUACCACCCUGGUGUGUUUGAGGUUCUAACCUAGGUCCAUUAUCUGGAUCGGGGACAGUGCAUGGUAGGCAGUUUGACUGGGGCGGUCUCCUCCCAAAGCGUAACGGAGGAGUUCGAAGGUACGCUAGUUACGGUCGGACAUCGUGACGAUAGUGCAAUGGCAUAAGCGUGCUUAACUGCGAGACUGACAAGUCGAGCAGAUGCGAAAGCAGGACAUAGUGAUCCGUGGUUCUGUAUGGAAGGGCCAUCGCUCAACGGAUAAAAGGUACUCUGGGGAUAACAGGCUGAUACCGCCCAAGAGUUCAUAUCGACGGCGGUGUUUGGCACCUCGAUGUCGGCUCAUCUCAUCCUGGGGCUGUAGCCGGUCCCAAGGGUAUGGCUGUUCGCCAUUUAAAGAGGUACGUGAGCUGGGUUUAAAACGUCGUGAGACAGUUUGGUCCCUAUCUUCCGUGGGCGCUGCAGAUUUGAGGAAGCCUGCUCCUGGUACGAGAGGACCGGAGUGGACACACCUCUGGUGUAUCGGUUGUCACGCCAGUGGCAUUGCCGAGUAGCUAAGUGUGGAAGAGAUAACCGCUGAAAGCAUCUAAGCGGGAAACUCGUUUCAAGAUGAGAUCUGCCGGGGCCUUGAGCCCCCUGAAGAGUCGUUCAAGACCAGGACGUUGAUAGGUCAGGUGUGGAAGCGCAGUAAUGCGUUAAGCUAACUGAUACUAAUUGCUCGUGCGGCCUGAUC